CCUACGGGAGGCAGCAGUAGGGAAUAUUGCUCAAUGGGGGAAACCCUGAAGCAGCGACGCCGCGUGGAGGAUGAAGGUUUUCGGUAUGUAAACUCCUUUUGGUAGAGAAGAAAAUGACGGUACCUAACUAAUAAGCACCGGCUAACUACGUGCCAGCAGCCGCGGUACUACGGAGGGGGCAAGCGUUACCCGGAUUCACUGGGCGUAAAGAGGGCGUAGGCGGGAUAACAAGUCAGAUGUGAAAUCCUAGGGCUUAACCAUAGAACUGCAUUUGAAACUGUUGGGCUAGAGUAUGGGAGAGGUAGGUGGAAUUCUUAGUGUAGCGGUAAAAUCCGUAGAGAUUAAGAGGAAUACCCAUUGCGAAGGCGACCUGCUAGAACAUAACUGACGCUGAUGCGCGAAAGCGUGGGGAGCAAACAGGAUUAGAUACCCGAGUAGUC
rnacentral:rRNA from 1 species